rnacentral:rRNA from 1 species
UACGUAGGGACCGAGCGUUGUCCGGAAUCAUUGGGCGUAAAGAGCGUGUAGGCGGCCAACUAAGUCCUGCGUGAAAUCUCGGGGCUCAACCCCGAGCGGUCGUGGGAAACUGGUUGGCUAGAGUGCGGGAGAGGAGAGUGGAAUUCCUGGUGUAGCGGUGAAAUGCGCAGAUAUCAGGAAGAACACCGGUGGCGAAGGCGGGUCUCUGGGCCGAUACUGACGCUGAGGAGCGAAAGCGUGGGGAGCAAACAGG